rnacentral:rRNA from 1 species
AUUGAACGCUGGCGGCAGGCCUAACACAUGCAAGUCGAACGAGUGGCGGACGGGUGAGUAAUGUCUGGGGAACUGCCUGAUGGAGGGGGAUAACUACUGGAAACGGUAGCUAAUACCGCAUAACAUCAGAUGUGCCCAGAUGGGAUUAGCUUGUUGGUGGGGUAAAGGCUCACCCAGGCGACGAUCCCUAGCUGGUCUGAGAGGAGUACCAGCCACACUGGAACGUAGACACGGUCCAGACUCCUACGGCAGGCAGCAGUGGGGAAUAUUGCACAAUGGGAGCAAUCCUUAUGCAGCCAUGCCGCGUGUAUGAAGAAGGCCUUCGGGUUGUAAAGUACUUUCAGCGUGGAGGCGUUACCCGCAGAAGAAGCACCUGCUAACUCCGUGCCAGCAGCCGCGGUAAUUC